ensembl:lncRNA
GGCUGCUUUCUGACCAUUCCAGCUGUGCAAUCAGACAAGCAACAGCACUGACAGCAGAGAAGAGAAAAGUGUACGAGCCCGUCCAACUCCAGGCUGCAGCUGUGUGAGAAGCAAUCCAGUUACACAAACCUCAACAACAGCCAUGCCUGGGUGCUGUGGGAGAAUGCUAUUGGUCAUUCCUCAUCCAUUUUUCCUACGGAAUACUUGAAAACAUGGGAGAAGCUGUCCUGAAAGACAAGCACAGAGGAGGCGAAGGACCUCUGCAGCCAGGAUGUGCUGCUGCGGUGUGCAAUUGCACAAACCAAGCUGUUGUGUAUUCAGAGUCGCAUCUGCCUGCCCAAAUGACCAAAAUGCAGUAUUCGCUGCUUUCUACUUCAUUUAAACCUGCAGGAGCCAGUAAUGCUCAUCCUCCUCAUGCGCCAAGGUGUCCACAUGUGCCACUCGCCAACCUGGGACUUCUUCACCGAGCAAUGUCUGAGCAAAUCUCCUAAAAACAGAGCAACUGCUCGCAGAUUAUUGUGAUCAUAAUUUGGCUGACACAGCCUUUAUUACUAAUGGUGAUGCUGGAGAUGGAAAACCCAGCUUGAUUCUCAGAUCCCUGCUGGAAAGUAAUAAAAUAAAGAGGAACAAAAUCCAUGAGUGUAUUUGCUACCAAACCUUUGAAAAACACAAAAAUGGAACCCUGCCAAUACUGUUGCUGGCAAUUUUUCAGACCAGAGCCUCUCUCUGAGAUAGCAUUAGAAUUGGAAGUGCAUUUUGUAUCUAUGGCAUUAGUAUCACAUUGUGUACAAACAGGGAGUUUACAAUUAUUUGACAUUUAUUGGUUUGCAUUGUAAUUAUUGUGUGCUGCUCUUAUAUCUUCAGUCUAUUCUUAAGCACCUUCCAGUAACGUAAUAAUUAGAAAAUAACCCCAGUUAUUGUGUAAAAUGUGUUUAUUUUGUUAACUGAAAAAAUGGACAAAAGAAGUGCUUCAGUGGAAGUGCUCUUAUCAAAAUGGAAGGUAUUGCAGUCUUUCAGUGAGGCCUUUGUUGAGAAGAUCGGCUAAGGGAGGUUGACUUUUACAUAGUCUCCUUUGUCCAUCAUUGUGCAAUGGCAGAAUUCACAGCUAAUUCUGAUGGCAGAAGCUUCUCUUGGGGUGGUAGCUGAGGAUGAUAUAAUAUCAUGUACAACCCUAGGAAACUUCCCCAAGCCAUAGCUAGGAUUUUGAAUAACAGAAUGAGCCUUUGGUACUAAGAAACAAGCCUGUGGUACUAGGAAUACAGAAAAAGCUAUUAAAAUUUUAAAUGUAUAAAGGGCCACUUGAUAAAAUCAGUAGCAAAUAAAGAGGAAUGUAAAUGUAAUUUCAUUGAUUGAUUUCACUUCCUCUCUUCUUUCAUGUUAAUAUAUUUUUGUCCCUUAAUUCAUAACCACACGGUAAUUAAAAAAUGCAAGAAAAACUAACUUUUUACCACGCUAAUUAAACUGUAUGUCACAUAGGCAUUUGGGGAGAAUUUCCCAUGCUUUCCAGUGUGAAUGGAAGGAAAGAGCAGUGGUGCUCACUUUAAACUCGAUUUUUCUCCAGUACCUUGCAAAAAGGCUUCAUUGUAUUUUGAUUAAUCCAUGCUUGGUCCACCUCUGAUGUUUCCAUGGAAACAGAUUUUUUUUUUUUUUU